AGAACUGGUUGGAUGUGAGACUCAGAGGAUAAGAAGUAGGUGACACUUAAUUCUGCUUUUUAAAGAGCAUCCUAAUUGCUCUGCAGGUGUAAAAGCUCCAUCUCCACUGCAGCUCCAUCAUGUGUGAAAUAGCCUCGCUGUGUGUGCCUGCUUGGUUUCCUCCGAGCUGUGGGAGAAAGCUUCAGAGCCAGGUCUACAGUUCCAGUCCCAGCUUUGGAUCUGCUUCUGCUACGUUCUAGAUGUAUGACAACCCUUUGUACAAGGAAUGCCUGCCCUUCUGCAGCAUAGGGAGCAACACUGGUGAAACAAAUACCUGCUGGCAAGGUUGAAGAAUCCAAAAUGAAACCUAGUUCCCAGCUCUGGAAUCCUUACAAUUGAUAGAAGAUGAUUCUGCAUAAAGAAUACAGCUUGUUCAUCUGAUUUGCACGGAAGGGGGAAGAAGUUUUUAUGGAAAAGACAAACUGCAGACUCAACUCUGUGUGUUCCUUCUACCAUGCUUCUUUUCCUGAUCAGAGAUGAAAGGUACAGGUGGAGAGUCAACUGCCUAAUUGUCAUAAGGCUAAACAUUUGUUCACUUGCUUAAGUUGCAAUAAGUCCUGGAGUGCUCUCUGCUUACACAAGAGGAUUUCAACAGAGGUGUGUUCCAGAAAGAUAUUUUUGUAGAAAAGGAAAAAUUCUGCAGGCAUUACUACUGUGAGAUUGUUACCUUUCAGGAUUUGUUCUGGACUGCUUGUCUGUGGGGAAGCACAAAAGCCUGCCGGUUUCACAUACAUUUUGUUUUCUGGUCCAUGAUUGAAUCUUGCAUUGAAAAGCAUCAAAAUCUGAAUUAUACUGAGGCUAUGCAGCACUAUGGAUGUGACUGACAUGCACGAGUGGUGACCUCACUAUUGCUUAAACAUUGGUGAAGAAGCUAUCCAAGCAAGUGAGAAAGUUGUAAGCUCAAGUGGCUGCGCUGAACUGCCGGCUAAGAGACACCAGGCAGGAGGAACAACGGUACAACAUUGUGAAAGUGCUUUUUUACAGCCAGGCCUCCAACUCUGACCAAGUGUGUUAACGGCUGAUAAGAGUGCUCUCUGAGAAAACAAUUCAUGGGUUACAAGAAACAUUAAAUGUGCGUGGAGAAACACCUUGGUGAAUUAAUAUCCACUGAAGAGCUCUGGUCACUUGGUGAUUGUGUUUGGUGACCCAGUGAGUUUUAGAAAAACAGUUACCAUGCUUUUGACUUCUGACUUCCCCAGUCUUUUUCGUGUUUUAAGUCUCCAGUUUAACAAAACACUGAUCUGUCUCUAUCUGAAAGUCUUUGGCUGUGGAAGCACUGCUCAUUAGGUCUGGAAGACUUCUGGAUUGUUACUGCCUCCCGCUUCCUCUCCCUGUCUGUGAGCAAGGGGUUGUCACAGGUCAGCUGCAGAACAGAAAGUGUGGCAGUAAAUUGUCGGAAACCCCAAAUCCUGCAGAGUUGUUUUGGAUUAAGAGGGAGGAAAAGGAUGUCACACUUUCUAAAUGUCAGGUAUAGACAGACAUACCCUAGAGUUGUGGCACCCAUUAAUAGAUCAAGCAAGUCCGUGCAGCUGUGUUUUGAUCAGUGGAAAGGUUUCCUGGCAUCCGAGAACUGAAAUCACCUUUUGGGUCAUCACACCUCACUGGAGGUUUCCCUGGUUUAAUAAGCAACUCAGAAACCACAGAGAGGACCAGAGGAUGGGGGUUGUUGUACAUUCUUAUAUUUGAAAGCCGCUCCAUAGCAUCCGCAAGGAGGAUUCCUGGCACCUGCCUAGUUACACUGGAUGUCCAAUGUUAUCUCUCCGGGCAAGUAAGAUUCUGACAAUCACUGUAGUCAUAUUUCACUUCUUAGUCUUUUCGACAUAAACACAUUAAUUCUCCCAAGCUCCUUUGGCAGCUGUAAGAAGUUCUCUUUUUUUUUAAUAUGAUUGAUAAUAUUGAAUAUUUCUUUUAACCUUUUGCUGUCAUUUCUGGGCUAGGUGAUAGUUUCUCUAUUGAGAUGUUAAUCUCUAGCAUGCAGUAGCUCAUCUUCCAAUCACCUACUCAUCACGGAGCCCAUUUGUAGAAUGCUGCUGUUUAAUUUACGACUGCCUACAAAACUCCACCUAGCAUUAGCCCUAUAACAUAUAAUAUCAUUCUCCCAACAGUCCCACUGUCAAAGGUCACAUAAAGCAAACCAUUGCUUUAUACGGAAACUCCUAGUUUAAUACAGAAGGAAUGGCAGCCCUUGGGCAAAAUUUGACUAUAUAGUUUCAUGUGAUGCACUGGAAAGAAAUACAUUCUGGAAAGGGUGUCAAUAAUGCAUGUUCUCUGGUUCAAUGCAGGAAAUGACCCAACUGAAAUAUACUGGCAAAAAAAAAGUCAUCAUUUUCUUAAUUUUCAUUUUUUCAGGAAAAAGAAAAAAGGUUGUCUGAGGAGACAGAAAUAUAUAAAAACAAAAAGACCUCCCAGGCUGACUUGAAAUAUGUUCAAACUACACAUCCACUCCCUGCUCCCUAGAACCCAGUAAAUAUUUCUUUGGCCCCACAAAGUAUUUUAGUCUGAACCCAGGAAACCUCAGAUUGACCUUGGAAAUAAGAUUCCUCAUUUUCAAAGUAAAUGUCUCAGCCACGUUACUGGAGGAGUUGCACUUUUCUGAUUGAAACAUAUAAAACCUGUCUCUUGGCAAAUGGGGUAGAUUAUACCAUGGGGAACUGGUUGUUUUCCCAAUUAACUGACCAUAGGCACUUUCAAACUCUUUUUCUCAACUUUUAUACCCCAGUACAAUGCUGGUGGCAAGGUUAACAUAUCUACUUAUGGCCAUUAGAGGCAGGAUUAAGCCCAUGUAAAGCAGUAGAGCCUAUCUCAGUGGAGAUACACUGACCUGCAUUGCUGAGAAUCUGGCACAUGUCUGUACAGAGAUUUUGUUCUGUCUUCUCUUCAGGUUGUAUUGCAUGGUUUAACAGCAUUUGAUGCUGUAGUGUCCUUUUAGCUUACCUUAUAUCCAAUUUGAGGUUUUAGAUUGCAUAUAUGUGGAUUUGAUUAGCUUUGUCAAUUUGUUUUCUUCUGAUGUUUUUUUUCCCCUGCCAGUUGCAUUAACUCUUCUUUCACCCAAGACAAGAUCUCACUCCCUGAUGGGAUAUAAUGAAAAUACACUUUUGAAACAGUCUUUGACAUCAUCUUCUGAAAAUGUCUGACUCAUAUUCUGCUAUAAAUUUCCCAGGUCUGGUUAUUAGUUCUCUAGAAAUGUACAAGUGCAUGUUCCACAUGUAGUAAAAGGACAAGAAGCGUCUCAAAUUCCUCUUCUGAUGACUGAUUGAUGUCUAUCAACUGAUGCUGAAGAUCAUUGUGACCACACCCUUCCUUUUAAUUUCAUAGCUGCUUUCUGGACUUCAAACAUAACUGCCUUUUGUCUAACAGUCUUGUUUAUAACAGACCAAAACAAUAAAGAUGGACACUUUGAUAGCCGUCUACAAAAUUAGUUGAAUUAAACUUGGCUUUAAUUCUAACAAAAAUGCAAAUGCAGUAUUGGGUGUUAAGUAAAAUAAGGUGAUGCUUUUUCUAAAUGAGCCAUUUAGUUUUUGCUUCAGCUUGAGUUUCUCACUUGAGGCCAACCAGAAGUGAUGAAAUACUGUCAGCUUUAGGCUUCUGGUCUGAGGCACAAAUGGUGACAUCCAGCUGCCCAAGAUGUGGCCCUUGCACCCUCAGCCAUGUCCUGCUGAAUCCUGAGUGUGCUCUGGGUUUCACUAGGUUGCAGGUUGUAGCCAUGUGGUGCAGAUUUAAGAGCUCCGUGGGGCUCAGGUAGUGUUCAUACAUCUGAAUAGGACAAUGGUAUCCAAACAGAAUGAACCUUUGAACUUUGUUAGGUUUUUGAUAUGACGUUAGGCCUCAGAUUUAUAAAACCAAAACAGAACAAAACAAAAGUGUGCUUGCUUUCAUUCUGUCUUCUGAUUUUGCACUAAAUUGUCAGCAAAAUAGACCUUUUACCUAUGAACAGAUGGCAUGCAAUUCUGUGGGAUUUUCCCACAUUUGAUGAGCACACAUCAAGUCCAUUUACAUAAACAUGGAAAAUAUUAAAAUGACUACCAGGUCUGUGUAGUGUAAGACACCUGGAGCACAUUGCUGCCAGCAAGCUUCUGAGGUGGGGAUAUUCUGGCACACAGUCACGGUUCUGGGGACUGGGCCAUUUUUGACUCAGAUUAUUGCAUCUUUUGACACCUAAAGACAUGUUCACCUCUGACCCAGAAACAUCUGCAACCUCAAACUAUAAAACCAGGAAUGGAAAUGUAGCCUUUUUUCUUCCCCUUACUGUUAUUUUUAUUUUCUAUUGAAAAGGGGUUUAAAAGGCCUAUGAAAUGUAAAAUUGCUUUUUUGCCAUAGUUGCAAAACUCAUUUCACUUUUUAUCUGAGAUGCGCUUGUAGCAAAUUUCCAGAGUUGAAAAACUAAUACAAUAACCCACUUUGAGGACCACAGUCAAAAGCACUGAGCACAGCACAGCCUGCAUCUCUCAGUGCUUGAGGCAAAUGGGGGAACUGCCACAGUGGCCAACCCUGUCCUUGCUCCCACCAUUCACCCUGACUUUUCCUCACCAGCUUAUAUUGCCUGCAAAGUUCUGACAUAUUGUGACUUUCCUUCCUAAAAUAACACUGACUGACUUUUACUCACCAAGCUCUAACUUUUGGUCCUUUUGUGCAGGCAAAAUUUAUAAAUAUUUAGGCCGUUACUGCUGCUCCUCUGACAUGGCCCAUCAUCAGAAUACCAGCUCUCCUGGUGAUUGCACAGGUGACUGUAGUUUCUUAGAUGAGAUAUUGAUAUACUAAUGACAAUUUAUGUCUUUCUUUCACCUUUCUUGUUAUGAUUUGCUCCUGGAAUUUCUAUACACACAGGUUUUUUGUUUUUUUUUUUACUUAAUUUUGCCUACUAAAUUUUGGCUGAAAAAAAAUUGAGCUGGGACCUUUUCUGUGUGUCAGUUUGCCCUCCUGUAGAAUGAAUUUGCAUCGCUUCUAGUAGCAUGUGACUACCUUUGGAUGAAUGGCACUAUAGAAAUCCUCAGAAUUAUUAUUUUUAUUUUUAGCUAUGGUAUAAUGUAGUCAAUUUUUUGUUUCAUUUAACAUGAGAGGUAGUAUAUAGGACAGAGCAACAUACUAUGUUGAUAGAUGGAGUAUUGCUGCGGUUGAGUUUGCCAAAUUUAACACAUUUCCCAUUGGAAAAAAAAACUUUGGAAAAGUUUCUCUUUUCUGAGUACAGGCAUUUUAUGUUAGAGCCUUAGAGCUGAUUCUGUCUCUCCUAAGUUAUAAACCCUUAUGGAUGUACCAUAAAGAUGUCCACCUAAUGCAGAGAAAAGCAGAUUAAUUGAUCACAGUAAUAUAUUCUUAUCCACUGAAUAAGAGCAUUCCACACAUUGUUUCUUGUUUUGUUUCUGGCUUGUAAAUCUUCAUUGUAGAAUACAAAUGAAAAUGACCCAAAUAUGUAUUAUUUAUGAAUGGGACUCUCACAUAUUAUGCUUUAGAUUGAUUGUGUUAGACAGGAUAUAACAGAAGCACAAUAAGUCAAUGAAAAAUAAAAAGCAGCAAAAAUGUUUCAUGCUAAAAAUGUAGUUCUAGUGACACCUCUUAUAUAAAGGAUAUUUCCAACACAUUGACAUUUAUAUUUAUCAUGGCUGUGUAUGUGAUUUACAGUUGUCUGAGGUACUGAAUAUCAGGAAUAUCCAUGCACAUACACACCCCUUUUGAAUGAUGGUAAGUCAUAGACUGCUGCCUUGCCCCUUAUACAGCAAGAUUUUCCUCCCCUUUUUAUUUUUCUUCUUUAGCUUCAGGGACGCAAAGGAAGCAGUAGAUCAAUAGGGUGUCUUGACUGAAGUUGCCUGCAGCACUUCCAUUUCUCAGACUGGACACUGAUGCUAACUAUCAAUAGCAGUAAGAGGCUGUCUCAGACAGAAUUAAGGCUCCUUCUUCUGCAUGGCUGUCUGGUGCUUACUGAUAAACAUCUUGUGCACAGGAUUGCAACAAAUAAACCAUUUCAAGUGUG